rnacentral:rRNA from 1 species
UACGAAGGGGGCUAGCGUUGCUCGGAAUCACUGGGCGUAAAGCGCACGUAGGCGGAUUGUUAAGUCAGGGGCGAAAUCCUGGAGCUCAACUCCAGAACUGCCUUUGAUACUGGCGAUCUUGAGUCCGGGAGAGGUGAGUGGAACUGCGAGUGUAGAGGUGAAAUUCGUAGAUAUUCGCAAGAGCACCAGUGGCGAAGGCGGCUCACUGGCCCGGUACUGACGCUGAGGUGCGAAAGCGUGGGGAGCAAACAGG